GCAGGGGCCCGGGGCGGGAGGCGGCGUCCGGCGCGGCGGCGGCGCUAGAGCGGCCUCAGACGCGGGAUCCGAGCGGCGGUUCGGGAUGUUUCGGGGCGACGUGAGCGGCUCGGGGUGCGGCCGUCGCCAGCCCGGAUGCCUCGCUGCAAGGAGCUGAUAUGAACGAAACACUACUGAAGGAUAACAGAGCCAUUGUCUUGCGUUUAAGUGGAAAGAGUAUUGCCCUAGCCAUAACUAAAGCUUAAGAAGAUGAAAUUAAAGGAAGAUUCAGAAUUAAGAAAAAU
rnacentral:lncRNA from 1 species